GGUCCGGUGGCCGAGGCGACAGCGGCGCUGGUCUCACACGCCAAGACCGGGGUUCAAAUCUCAUCCGGACCG
rnacentral:tRNA from 1 species